GCCAGGCAUGGUGGCGCAUGCCUGUAAUUCCAGCUACUCGGAGGCUGAGGCAGGGGAAUUACUUGAACCCAGGAGGCAGAGGUUGCAGUGAGCUGAGAUCGCACCACUGCACUCCAGCCUGGGUGACAGAGUAAGAUUCAGUCUCAA
ensembl:misc_RNA Metazoa_SRP Metazoan signal recognition particle RNA